rnacentral:misc_RNA from 1 species
AGAUCCAAACCGACAAUACUCUGUAGGCAC